rnacentral:rRNA from 1 species
GACGAACGCUGGCGGCGUGCCUAAUACAUGCAAGUAGGACGCACAGUUUAUACCGUAGCUUGCUACACCAUAGACUGUGAGUUGCGAACGGGUGAGUAACGCGUAGGUAACCUGCCUAUUAGAGGGGGAUAACUAUUGGAAACGAUAGCUAAUACCGCAUAACAGUAUGUAACACAUGUUAGAUGCUUGAAAGAUGCAAUUGCAUCGCUAGUAGAUGGACCUGCGUUGUAUUAGCUAGUAGGUAGGGUAAAGGCCUACCUAGGCAACGAUACAUAGCCGACCUGAGAGGGUGAUCGGCCACACUGGGACUGAGACACGGCCCAGACUCCUACGGGAGGCAGCAGUAGGGAAUCUUCGGCAAUGGGGGGAACCCUGACCGAGCAACGCCGCGUGAGUGAAGAAGGUUUUCGGAUCGUAAAGCUCUGUUGUUAAGGAAGAACGAGUGUGAGAAUGGAAAGUUCAUACUGUGACGGU